GAAGCCUCAGGAGAAACCAGCCCUGAGGACACCUUGAUCUUGGACUUCCAGCCUCCAGAUGAUCCCGAGAAGCUGCUACUACUUGGUAAGGGGCUGAGAGUCCAGCCGAUCGCUCCCCAGGGAAGUCCCCUUCCUCGGAGGAACAAUGCUUUCCGAGAAACCCCACGGCUGACCAGAGCCUGUGCCACUGCCUGCUGCUGCAGAGCGAAGUGGGCUCCAAGGGGCGCUGUCACUCACGGCUCUGCUGCAUCAGCACCCAGCGUGCUGGGCAGCAUUGGGUUCCCCGAAAACACAUGCUGAGCUCCUAACCCCUGGUACCUGUGAAUGUGACCUUAUAUGGAAAGAGGGUCUUUGCGGAUGUCAUCAAGUUCAGGAAGAGGUGGUAGGACACAGGCACACCCAGAGGGACAACCACCACAUGAGGACACAGGGAGAAGACGGCUGUCCACACGCCAACAAGAGGGUUCUCAGGAGGAACCAACCCUGCCAACACCUUGACCGUGGACGUCCAGCCUCCAGAGUAUGCACCCCAAACACAGUCACAAGUGUCCUUGUCAGAGGAAGGCAGUGGGGGACUUGACACAGAGAGGAGAGAAGAGGAGACGGCUACGUGAUCACUGAGGCGAGAUGCUACGUGCUGGCUGCGAAGAUGGAGGAAGGGGCCACGAGCCAAGGAACGCAGGCAACCUCGAGCAGCUGGACGAAGCAAGGAACGGAUUCCCCCCCCGAGGGCCUCUGGAGGGAGCUCAGCCCUGCCGACGCCUUGAUUUCAGCUCAGUGGUACCGAUUUCAGACUUCUCGCCUUUGGAACUGUGAGAGAGUAAAUGCGUGUUGUUUUAAGCCACUAAGUUUGUGGACGUUUGUUGCCACAGCCACAGAAAACUCAUAUGGUAGAGACAGGAUUUAAACCCAGCAGUCUAUCUUCAGAACCUGCACUGUUGUUUGUUUUUCUAAGAUUUUUUAAACCUUUCUCCUUUAACAUUUAAAACUUGUUUUUUAAUUACAUUUAUUUUGAUGGCUGUGGGGGUGGGUGGGGUAACACAACGAUGUUUCACCCUGAGCUAACAUCUAUUGCCAGUUUUCCUCUCUCUCUUUUUUUCUCCCUAAAGCCCCAGUACCUAGUUGUAUAUUCUAGUUGUAGGUCCUUCUAGAUCUUCUGUGUGAGCCACCACCACAACGUGGCUGCUGACAGACGCAUGGUGUGGUUCCGCGACUGGGAACUGAACCUGGGCCCCCGAAGCAGAGCAUGCCGAACUCUAACCACUAGGCCAUCAGGGCUGGCUCUAAAACAUUUUUUUAAAGAGGUAAAAUUUCAUAUAGUGAAAUGCACAAUACAUUGUGACAAGUCUAAACACCUGUGUAGCCCCCACCCCAACUGAGAUAUGGAGCAGCCCAUCCCCCUUCCCAGUCAAGCGCUUCCCUGUCCGAUCAGCCAUGUGCUGAUUUCUAUCACGGUAGAUUUAUUUUGCCUGUUCUUGAACUUCCUAUAAAUAAAUGUGCAUAGUACGUUGU